CCUAUAUAAACCCAUCGACGACGCUUCGGGGUUUGAAGUGGCGUUUAUCGCCGUUCGAGAGAAUUAGGGCAACGAACGAGCCCUUUGAUGAGUUGAGCCCUUUCUCUUCUCCCUUUUAGGGUUCGAUUUUUCCAGGGGGCGAAAUUAAAUAAUUCAGGAGAUUAUGAGUCGCUUCGCCUCUCUUUUACUCUCGUGAGGGAAAGGGGAGGUCCUAUGAUGGCAUGAAAUCUUUGAGACCUGAUACUCAUCUUGAUGAGAACUAUAAGCAUAAAUCUGAGGACCCAAUCCGAAAAAAAAAGGGAGAAAAAAGAGGUUUUUGAUUGGCGCAAAUUUAACGCCGAACGCGAGACUUGUUAUCGGCACGAAGGUGAAGAUCUCGAAAGAGGAAGGGUGGAGUGUGACUUCAAUAGGAUCUGAAUUUGGAGUCAUUAGUUGCAGUAGUUCUGCUUGGUUUAGAUAGACUGCGUAGUCGUCGGCGUAGCCAAUGUUCUUUGUUUCUUUCUUCUGGCUCCACUUGAUGUCCGAGACAUGGACACGGGCGGAGACCGGCUUGUAACAAUCUGGGUAGCCUCUUAUUCUGUUCUCUUCCGGAUCCCAGCCUGCUCCCUGGCAAUUGAAGGCCCCGACGACUGCUCCAAACUGCGCAUGCGGUGUUACGUCAGAGGAGUUGAUGAAGAUCAGAAAAAAUUUCUGCAUGUAUUCUGAAUCAGGGACUUGGAACCAAGAAACCAAGUAUAUUGGAACAAAGGCUGUGAGGACACAUCACAGUUGAGAGAAUACAUACCACAUACAACAGAAGAGUUCGAUAAAUCGAGAACCGAGAAGUUCGUACUCCAUAAGCUUGUAAUUGCAUGAAAAAAGUAUCAAUAAAUUAACCUGUGUACCUUGUUUAUGUUCCAAA